GAUGAACGCUGGCGGCGUGCCUAAUACAUGCAAGUCGAGCGAACAGACGAGGAGCUUGCUCCUUUGACGUUAGCGGCGGACGGGUGAGUAACACGUGGGUAACCUACCUAUAAGACUGGGAUAACUUCGGGAAACCGGAGCUAAUACCGGAUAAUAUUUCGAACCGCAUGGUUCGAUAGUGAAAGAUGGCUUUGCUAUCACUUAUAGAUGGACCUGCGCCGUAUUAGCUAGUUGGUAAGGUAACGGCUUACCAAGGCAACGAUACGUAGCCGACCUGAGAGGGUGAUCGGCCACACUGGAACUGAGACACGGUCCAGACUCCUACGGGAGGCAGCAGUAGGGAAUCUUCCGCAAUGGGCGAAAGCCUGACGGAGCAACGCCGCGUGAGUGAUGAAGGUCUUCGGAUCGUAAACUCUGUUAUUAGGGAAGAACAAACGUGUAAGUAACUGUGCACGUCUUGACGGUACCUAAUCAGAAAGCCACGGCUAACUACGUG
rnacentral:rRNA from 1 species